rnacentral:rRNA from 1 species
UACGAAGGGGGCUAGCGUUGCUCGGAAUCACUGGGCGUAAAGCGCACGUAGGCGGCUUUCUAAGUCAGGGGUGAAAUCCUGGAGCUCAACUCCAGAACUGCCCUUGAUACUGGAGACCUUGAGUCCGGGAGAGGUGAGUGGAACUCCGAGUGUAGAGGUGAAAUUCGUAGAUAUUCGGAAGAACACCAGUGGCGAAGGCGGCUCACUGGCCCGGUACUGACGCUGAGGUGCGAAAGCGUGGGGAGCAAACAGG